rnacentral:tRNA from 1 species
GGGUGUAGCUCAGUGGUAGAGUGUGUGCUUAGCAUGCACAAGGGUCCUGAGUUCAAUCCCCAGUACUUCCA